rnacentral:rRNA from 1 species
UACGUAGGGGGCAAGCGUUGUCCGGAUUUACUGGGCGUAAAGAGCGUGUAGGCGGCCACGCAGGUCCGUUGUGAAAACUGGAGGCUCAACCUCCAGCUGUCGACGGAAACCGUAUGGCUAGAGUCCGGAAGAGGAGACUGGAAUUCAUGGUGUAGCAGUGAAAUGCGUAGAGAUCAUGAGGAAGACCAGUGGCGAAGGCGGGUCUCUGGACAGUUCCUGGCACUGAGACACGAAGGCCAGGGGAGCAAACGGG